UAUGGAUUAUCAACGGUCACGCCAUAAUAAACGGAUUGGCUGAGUCUAUCUGCGCACGUGUUGCUGAAAUAAAGCGCACUAACACAAAAUAAGUUUAAGGGAAUUCAGCACCUAUCUUCUUUUUAAGAUUGAAACUAAGAAUAUGGAAGCUAUCGCCGAAGGAUGAAUGUUCUGCUCUGCUGAACGUGUUUUGGGGUUGUUUGUUUCAAAUAUUAUCAAAAUCAAAAGCAAAUUCUGGGAUCUGCGGACUUCGUUUAGUACUCCUUCGAGAAAAUGAACGAAGGAAGCGUAUGCGACACACUUUCAAAUGAGUCAAAGGAAGACGCAGAUAUGCACAGUCAAUCUUGUGAGGUUCAUGAAACGGAAAAAAACUAGAUUGUAUUGCAAAACUCACACUGUUCCUAUUUGUGUGCGAUGUCUACUAUCAAGUCAUAAAGAUUGCAUAAAUGAUACGAUCGAUCUUCUAGACAUUAAACUGGACGAUCUUAAUGUCACAGAAAGCUUGUCGGCUAUUGCAGAGCUAGAAGACGAAAUAACUAAAACUGAAAAAGCCCUGGCAGAAAAUAUCAAACUGAACAAAGAUUGCCACUCAAUAAUAAAAAAUGAAAUUGAAACAUAUUUCUUAAAUUAACUGGCCAACUUCUUUUAUUGAAAAACGAAGCCGAAAACAAAGGCUCAGUUAGUCAUAAUCGUAAUGAUAGUGUACUCAAUAAUCUCGCUGUCGAAUGUGAAGACAUAAAGAUGAUGGUUGGUGAAAAGAAGAGGUUAAUCAAGGGAUUAAUAGAGAAAAAGUACCACGUCCGACUCUUUGUAGCAGUGAAGAGUAUUUUCCUGGAAACAGCAAAUAUGAAAACGAAAUUGAGAAAUAUAGAUCACAAUAAUCAUAUUGAACAAAUAUGUUUCAAGCCAAACGACGCCUUACAGAAAAUCUUGUUCAGAAAUAAUGCCGUAAUAGGAACGCUGCAAGAGACGAUCGAUGGUAGUGAGGAAUACAAUGAUGUGCAAGUGGAGGAUACUAGCAUCAAUUUGAAACCAAACCAGCCUUGUUACUCGGGCAGUCUUGCCAAAACAGAAGCCGCUGCGAUUUCAGAACGAAACUUAGAAGACCAAGAUCGGUGUGUGAUAGGUAUGGAUGAUUCUACAAAUACAAAGAAACUUGUCUGUGGCUACAUAUUCUGUACAAAUUGCAUAAACCAAUGCUAAGUUUUCAAACCAGUGUGUCCUACAUGUGGCCACUUCUGUAAAAUAAUUAAAGGUGAUGAGCCGCCAGGAACGAUGAUCAUAACGCGUGAAAGCUUGAGGCAUUGCGUCGGCUAUGAAAAUGUCGGAAAAAUAUGUAUACAUUACAGUUUUAAAGAAGGAAUACAGGCGAUUUGGCUACCCCUUUCCAACAUACCUGGUAAGAGUGACUGAAAAGCUGAAAGCUAAAGGAAUUACACUUGCCGACAUCGAUCCGAAUGAUGAACUGGAUGGAACUGUGCAUUCUUUAUAGAAUUUGGCUCUGUUGACAAUGUUAGUUGCAGUUCAUGACCAGUAUAUCUAUGUUUUAUUUCAUGGAUAAUAGUGAAGAUAUAGUGUGGAUUUAUUUUGAUCUUAAACGUGACGUGAAAUGUUAAACAGAGGUUAAUAAUGUAAGUAACUGUGUGUAUUGUAAAGGACUUGUAACAUGUAACCAAGCGAAAGUUCUGAUUCAUCACCAAGACCUUUUAGACGAAAUAUUAUAUUUUGAUUGAGAGCGAUACGUUUAUUUGACUAGUAGUUACUUUUGUCUCAAAUGUGCUACUGGCUUUACUAAAGUUAUGAAUUACUUUCACCUUUUACCUUAACCUGCAGUGAGCGUAAGCAAUUUGAAAUUAUUAGCAUAAAUAACUAUAUUUUUUUCUGCAAAAUGUUUCCUCUUUGUAAAUUAAAUGAGCCUCGCUCUGUGAGAAGGGGGUUAAAUGCAUGUGCGCAAUGUGUCGUCUCAGACUAGCUUGUGCAGUCUGCACAAGCUUAUCAGAAACGACACUUUCCACCUUAACUUGAUUUUCGCUAAGACGAUUUUCUUAAAACGAGAAGUAUCUUAAAGUAUCAUUAUCAUACAAUCGGAAAGUGUCUUCCCUUAUUAGCCCCUGCGGACUGCUAAGGCUUAUCUGGGACGACACUUUACGCACAUUUAACCCCCUUUUCACAAAGCACGGCCAACGUGUAUUAUCUAUGAAAAUCAAAUGCUUAUUCAUAUGUACGUUUAAAAAAGUAUGCAUCUAAGUAGUAUCGGACCUUCAGUUAAAUAAAAUGUUGUGUAAUAUGUAUCAACAUGUUGUUAAACUGUUUUAUUUAUAUAUUUUCAUGAAAUAUUUAUUUUGUUGAAUAGUUCUUAGUGUUUGUUGUUAAAAUCAACUUGUCUUACCACGCUUCGUACUACUAGUAUAUUGAAACAAUGAAGCAUGUUUGAAAAUUCAACUUAAAGCACUUUCUUGCUUAUAUUUUACCAGAAGACUAUAUGGCUAGUAGUGAGCAGUGUAAGUGUUGUUUACAGAAACAGUUUCGAGGGAUGUAGCUUUUAUUUGACAAUUUACUUGACAAUCGUCUUCAUUUAUGUUUACUAGUAUUAACGAUUAUGUUGACUGUAUAACUUUCAGAACUAUCAUCCAAUUAAGGAGAUAAGGACUAAUUAAUUUACUGUAAUGUUGUAUUUAACCCGUUAAACAAUGCUCGAACGAGUAUGAAUAUGGAAGAACAUGAUUCUUAAUGUUUCCAAGAAACUGCUCAAUGUUGUGACAAGCUGUCCCUUUCUAUUUUAUUUCAGGUAUAAAUCUGUUAAUCGAUGUCUGAAAAGAUAUUUUUCAAAAACUGCAAAUUUCACUCAUGUUUACAUAUAUUUGUUUAGUAUAUGUCUUUAGUGAGUAUUGUAUUUGAUAUAAGUUAUUAUAAACUAAUUUUCUUUAAAGGA